GAUGAAGAACGUAGCGAAAUGCGAUAAGUAAUGUGAAUUGCAGAAUUCAGUGAAUCAUCGAAUCUUUGAACGCACAUUGCGCCCGGUAGUAUUCUGCCGGGCAUGCCUGUUCGAGCGUCAUUUCAACCGUCAAGCCCCAGCGCUUGUGUUGGGGGCCUGCGGCUGCCGCAGCCCCCCAAAAGCAGUGGCGGGCUCGCUAUCACACCGAGUGCAGUAGUUCAUCUUCUCUCCGGUCUUGUGAGGCGGGUUCCGGCCGUGAAACACCCCACUACAUUCAAGGUUGACCUCGGAUCAGGUAGGAAUACCCGCUGAACUUAAGCAUAUCAAUAAGCGGAGGA
rnacentral:misc_RNA from 1 species